UUCUAUAAGAACACAGUAUAGGAAAGAACCAUCUGUUAGAGUUUCAGGAAAGCCAUCUCUGAGCUGAUGACUUUUAAAAGGAGACCUGCAAAAUGGGAAGGAACCUGUCGUGCAAAAGCCAGCUCAUCUGGAUCAUUUGAAAACCUCAAGCAGAAAUUUCCCAGGUCAGCGUUAUGUGCUCGCCAAGAGCGAGCAUCUUCAAACAGAAACCAAAAACAAUGAAAAUCAAGCACACCAAUGACUGCUGGUUUCUCUUCAGUGGUGAACAUCAGCCCCAUGGGAGCAAGAAGACCACUGAGACCAGAACCUGAGUUCUCGACCCAUGGAAAAGCCUUAACAAGCAUCUGUGGAAUAAAUGAAGGAAUAAAGUUGCACUGGCUCUCCAAAGUCUUCCCUGAUAAACCUUCCCUUCCUGACUUUGACAUUCUCACCUUCCUGAGUAUUCUGUGCACUUAUCAGCGCUCCCCCAUCACCAGGACUUUGUUCGCUAAGGCUCUCUUCCCUAACGGUCAUAGAGUACCACUGAGUCUUUCGCUGCUUUAUUAUAGCAAGCUGACAUUAACAACACAAGCUUGUUUGUGGUCAUUUCAUGCACUUGUAUCUUGUGUCACCAACCAAGAGAAUAAGUUUCCCACAGGGAAGGCCUAUGUCGUAGGCCAAGGGAUAGAGAAGGAAGAGAAGGUUUGCGAAAGAAUGAUAAUGAAGUGCAUUUCUAAGAUAUUAAGCUUUAUCUGCUUAUAGUAGAUGCAGGUAGAAAUGUCUAUUGGGCAGUUUAUGUAUAUGGAUCUGACAUCAGAAGAGAAAUCUAAACUGAAAUUGCCUACUUGUGAUUCGUCAACAUAUGUUCAGGGUGAGUCGGAAACUGAGUGCACAAGCUCACUUGGGUUGACUAGAGAUGGAGAAGAUAAGCAGUGAAGGGCACAGCCAUGGUGCUGCCACCAGUUGAGGGCAGGUAGAAGGAGACUGAGAAGGAACCACGUCAGUGGUAGGAGAGGAACCUAAAGAGUUCGUCUCUGUGGGUGCCAAGAAAGUUGACUUUUUCAAGAUGAUAGACAAUGGUCAAUGGCGGCAAAUGUCACAAAGAAUCCAAAGAGAAGACCAGAAAAUAUCCACUGGAUUUGGCAGAUGAACAUUGCCACGGCGAUUUUAGUUGGGGAAUGAGGACGGAAGCAUGACUGGGAGGGACAAAGAAUGGACUUUACUGGAAGAUGAGUAAUUAAGGAAAGUGAGUUCAAACAGUGCCCUUGACAAGCUUAGCUUUGAAGACAAGGAGAAAGAUAGGUUGGUACCUAAAUCAGGGCUUCUGUGGAAAAUGAGUUGAGGUUUAUUAUUCAAAAGUAGGUUUUCAAUUAUGCAUUCAAAAUGUGUACAGUUUACUGUAUACCAAUUAUAACUCAGUAAAGUGGUAUG